rnacentral:tRNA from 1 species
AGGUAAUGAGCUUGAUAAAGUAUAUAUUUUGAAAAUAUAAGAUAGAGUUAAAAUAAUUUUAUUAUCUA